AGGACCGUAUAGCAUUAGGAAUACACAUUUGAUAGGUAGAGAUCUAGGUUAGUCCAAUUCAGCAAUAUCUAAAUUGAUAUGGACCUCCCAAUCAAAAAUAUCAUGACUGGGAGAAGCGAGGCACAUGUUUUUUCUAACACUUAUUACUUCUUAAAGGAGAACGGUCAUAUCCCAGGAUUUUUAAUAUAAUGUUUACUUAUAUUAAAGAGCAAGAGACAGGUAUGUGAGGUAGAGGUUACUCUGGGAAGCCAUAGACAUU